rnacentral:rRNA from 1 species
UACGUAGGGUGCAAGCGUUAAUCGGAAUUACUGGGCGUAAAGCGUGCGCAGGCGGUUUUGUAAGACUGUCGUGAAAUCCCCGGGCUCAACCUGGGAAUGGCGAUGGUGACUGCACAGCUAGAGUGUGUCAGAGGGGGGUAGAAUUCCACGUGUAGCAGUGAAAUGCGUAGAGAUGUGGAGGAAUACCGAUGGCGAAGGCAGCCCCCUGGGAUAACACUGACGCUCAUGCACGAAAGCGUGGGGAGCAAACAGG